rnacentral:rRNA from 1 species
CAGCUAGUUGGUAGGGUAACGGCCUACCAAGGCGACGAUCCGUAGCUGGUCUGAGAGGACGACCAGCCACACUGGGACUGAGACACGGCCCAGACUCCUACGGGAGGCAGCAGUGGGGAAUAUUGGACAAUGGGGGCAACCCUGAUCCAGCGACGCCGCGUGUGUGAAGAAGGCCUGCGGGUUGUAAAGCACUUUUAGUGGGGAUGAAAAGUACAUCGCUAAUACCGGUGUAUCUUGACCUAACCCAAAGAAAAAGCACCGGCUAACUCUGUGCCAGCAGCCGCGGUAAUACAGAGGGUGCGAGCGUUAAUCGGAAUUACUGGGCGUAAAGCGUGCGUAGACGGUUAUUUAAGU